GGGAGCGGGGGAGCACAGCUGACAGGAAGAGAAAGCCAAGGGCAGCGCCGCGGGCACACCCACGGCGAGGAGCUGAGAGCGGGCGAUGCCAGCGCGGAAGCGAGCUGUCAGAAACCGGGAGGAGGCGAGGAAGACGUGGGAAAGUGCAGUGUCAUGGAGACCCAGGCAGGAGGCGUGGCCAGCCGCGCGCCGGGAGGCAGGAAACUGUCUACUGUCACCUGGAACCUGUUCUCCUGGCUCGACACGUGCACGUGGGCCAGUCCCGCGUGAUGACCUGGGAUUGGCUUUGAGGACGAGGGCAAGCUCAUGAAGCUUGGGAUCCGGCUGCAGCUGCACGGCCACCCCGAGGGCUGCUCCCUGGCUCAUGAUGGGCUCUGAAAGGACCCCUGGCCUUCAGCUAACGGGGCUGUGCAGACCAGCUCCGCCAUCCCUGCCUAUGGCGUUCACCACUGAAGCUCCCCGAGCCUCCAGUUUUUCAUCCGCACAAUGGGGUAGUAAUUCCUUCUCUCAGGGCUAAGGGGAGUCACAUGUGAACGCCAACCGAGCUCCUGGAGUACAGGGCACUUUUGGUUGUUUUUCUUAGCUAUUAUGGACCAAUACUAGUGUAAAAAUACAAUAAAAUGAAUAAUAAAAUAAAAUAUGAUAAAAGU
rnacentral:lncRNA from 1 species